rnacentral:rRNA from 1 species
GUGUCAGCCGCCGCGGUAAUACGAAGGGGGCUAGCGUUGUUCGGAAUUACUGGGCGUAAAGGGCGCGCAGGCGGUCUUGGAAGUCAGAUGUGAAAGCCCCGGGCUCAACCUGGGAACUGCAUUUGAUACUCCGAGACUAGAGUUCGGGAGAGGAGAGUGGAAUUCCCAGUGUAGAGGUGAAAUUCGUAGAUAUUGGGAAGAACACCGGUGGCGAAGGCGGCUCUCUGGACCGAUACUGACGCUGAGGCGCGAAAGCGUGGGGAGCAAACAGGAUUAGAUACCCUGGUAGUCCACGCCGUAAACGAUGUGCGCUAGACGUUGGGAGGCCUAGCCUUCCGGUGUCGCAGCUAACGCGGUAAGCGCACCGCCUGGGGAGUACGGCCGCAAGGUUAAA